rnacentral:misc_RNA from 1 species
CUUCGGCUGCUAGGUUAGCUACCACUUUUACUGCAUGAAUUUGUGUAUUGGCAUCUUCAGACUCGAGCAAUGACAAAAUCUUUUGCAAUCCAACUUGUUCAAAAAGUGUGGCCAUUGGUGCCUUUUGCCCAUUUGCAGAGUCUUUAAACUGAGAAUGCCUCAUUUGAGAUGCAAAAGAAUCUAAACCAGCAAAAGCAUUUCCAGAUCCACCUCUGUCAAGAUGUCGUCUUGUCUGAUCAGCUUCAACAGUUAAUUGCAAUAACUGACUUUGUAGAAUCAA